AGGGAUUACCUCAGUAACGGCGAGUGAAGCGGUAACAGCUCAAAUUUGAAAUCUGGGUCUUUCAGGCUCCGAGUUGUAAUUUGUAGAAGAUGCUUCGGGUGCGGCUCCGGUCUAAGUUCCUUGGAACAGGACGUCAUAGAGGGUGAGAAUCCCGUAUGUGAUCGGUUGCUUGCGCCCAUGUGAAGCUCUUUCGACGAGUCGAGUUGUUUGGGAAUGCAGCUCAAAAUGGGUGGUAAAUUUCAUCUAAAGCUAAAUAUUGGCCAGAGACCGAUAGCGCACAAGUAGAGUGAUCGAAAGAUGAAAAGCACUUUGGAAAGAGAGUUAAACAGUACGUGAAAUUGUUGAAAGGGAAGCGCUUGCAACCAGACUUGCGCGUUGCCGAUCAUCUGGGGUUCUCCCCAGUGCACUCGGCCUCGCUCAGGCCAGCAUCGGUUUCGGUGGUGGGAUAAAGGCCUUGGGAAUGUAGCUCCUCUCGGGGAGUGUUAUAGCCCUCGGUGCAAUGCCGCCUACCGGGACCGAGGACCGCGCUUCGGCUAGGAUGCUGGCGUAAUGGUUGUAAGCGACCCGUCUUGAAACACGGACCAAGGAGUCUAACAUCUAUGCGAGUGUUUGGGUGUCAAACCCAUACGCGUAAUGAAAGUGAACGGAGGUGAGAACCCUUAAGGGUGCAUCAUCGACCGAUCCUGAUGUCUUCGGAUGGAUUUGAGUAAGAGCAUAGCUGUUGGGACCCGAAAGAUGGUGAACUAUGCCUGAAUAGGGUGAAGCCAGAGGAAACUCUGGUGGAGGCUCGCAGCGGUUCUGACGUGCAAAUCGAUCGUCAAAUUUGGGUAUAGGGGCGAAGACUAAUCGAACCAUCUAGUAGCUGGU
rnacentral:rRNA from 1 species